rnacentral:rRNA from 1 species
GACGAAGGAUGCAAGCGUUAUCCGGAUUCAUUGGGUUUAAAGGGAGCGUAGGCGGACUGAUAAGUCAGUGGUGAAAUCUUUGGGCUUAACCCAGAAACUGCCAUUGAUACUGUUAGUCUAGAGUACAGUUGCCGUUGGCGGAAUAUGACAUGUAGUGGUGAAAUACUUAGAUAUGUCAUAGAACACCGAUUGCGAAGGCAGCUAACGAAGCUGUAACUGACGCUGAGGCUCGAAAGUGCGGGGAUCAAACAGGAUUAGAUACCCUGGUAGUCCGCACUGUAAACGAUGAUUACUCGUUGCUGGAAGGUAACUUUCAGUGACCAAGCGAAAGCGAUAAGUAAUCCACCUGGGGAGUACGCCGGCAACGGUG